rnacentral:rRNA from 1 species
UACGUAGGGGGCGAGCGUUGUCCGGAAUCAUUGGGCGUAAAGCGCGUGUAGGCGGCCGACCAAGUCCGGUGUGAAAGCUCGGGGCUCAACCCUGAGUCUGCACUGGAAACUGGCCGGCUUGAGUCCGGAAGAGGAGACUGGAAUUCCUGGUGUAGCGGUGAAAUGCGCAGAUAUCAGGAAGAACACCGGUGGCGAAGGCGGGUCUCUGGGACGGUACUGACGCUGAGACGCGAAAGCGUGGGGAGCAAACAGG